GAAGCAACGCGCAGAACCUUACCAGCCCUUGACAUGGGCAGGACCGGCGCAGAGAUGCGCUUUCCCCGCAAGGGGCCUGCUGCACAGGUGCUGCAUGGCUGUCGUCAGCUCGUGUCGUGAGAUGUUGGGUUAAGUCCCGCAACGAGCGCAACCCUCGCCUUUAGUUGCCAUCAGGUUAGGCUGGGCACUCUAGAGGAACUGCCGGUGACAAGCCGGAGGAAGGUGGGGAUGACGUCAAGUCCUCAUGGCCCUUAUGGGCUGGGCUACACACGUGCUACAAUGGCGGUGACAGAGGGAGGCCAGACAGCGAUGUCGAGCCGAUCCCGAAAAGCCGUCUCAGUUCGGAUUGCACUCUGCAACUCGGGUGCAUGAAGGUGGAAUCGCUAGUAAUCGCGGAUCGGCACGCCGCGGUGAAUACGUUCCCGGGCCUUGUACACACCGCCCGUCACACCAUGGGAGUUGGUUCUACCUUAAGCAGGUGCGGCAACCGCAAGGGACUAGCUUGCCACGGUAGGGUCAGUGACUGGGGUGAAGUCGUAACAAGGUAGCCGUAGGGGAACCUGCGGCUGGAUCAC
rnacentral:rRNA from 1 species